rnacentral:rRNA from 1 species
CCCUUAGAUGUUCUGGGCGGCCCGCGCACUACAUUGGCACUCUCAAUAAGUUCCUAGAUCUAAAACUUUGGGGUAUUCUAUUAAGUGGUGUCGUGACUGGGAUUGACCCUUGCAAUUAUUGGUUACGAACGAGGAAUUCCUUGUAAUCGCGGUUUAUCAGCCCGCGUUGAAUGCGUCCCUGCCCUUUGUACACACCGCCCGUCGCUCCUACCGAUGAAUCGUCCGGUGAAGUUCAUGGAGUGGUGGUUGUUCCAGCUGCUGUCGAAGUGAAAUGGACCUCACGAUUUAGAGGAAGGAGAAGUCGUAACA